rnacentral:rRNA from 1 species
AGGGCACCACCAGGAGUGGAGCCUGCGGCUUAAUUUGACUCAACACGGGGAAACUCACCCGGCCCGGACACUGUAAGGAUGGACAGAUUAAAAGCUCUUUCUUGAUUCAGUGGGUGGUGGUGCAUGGCCGUUCUUAGUUGGUGGAGUGAUUUGUCUGGUUAAUUCCGAUAACGAACGAGACUCUGGCCUGCUAAAUAGUACGUUGGUAUCAGUGCCUUUGGUGCUCCAGCCAAUGCCGACUUCUUAGAGGGAUUCGCAGUCCUCAAACUGCACGAAAUAGAGCAAUAACAGGUCUGUGAUGCCCUUAGAUGUCCGGGGCCGCACGCGCGCUACAAUGACAGUAUCAGUGAGUAUGAAAACCUGGUCCGAGAGGAUUGGGCAAUCUUUGCAUUACUGUCUCCUCAGGGAUUGGGACUUGUAAUUAUUUCCCAUGAACGAGGAAUUCCCAGUAGGCGCAAGUCAUCAGCUUGCGUCGAUUACGUCCCUGCCCUUUGUACACACCGCCCGUCGCUACUACCG